rnacentral:rRNA from 1 species
AACGCGAUGAACCUUAUCUACUCUUGACAUCCAGAGAACUUAGCAGAGAUGCUUUGGUGCCUUCGGGAACUCUGAGACAGGUGCUGCAUGGCUGUCGUCAGCUCGUGUUGUGAAAUGUUGGGUUAAGUCCCGCAACGAGCGCAACCCUUAUCCUUUGUUGCCAGCGGUUAGGCCGGGAACUCAAAGGAGACUGCCAGUGAUAAACUGGAGGAAGGUGGGGAUGACGUCAAGUCAUCAUGGCCCUUACGAGUAGGGCUACACACGUGCUACAAUGGCAUAUACAAAGAGAAGCGACCUCGCGAGAGCAAGCGGACCUCAUAAAGUAUGUCGUAGUCCGGAUUGGAGUCUGCAACUCGACUCCAUGAAGUCGGAAUCGCUAGUAAUCGUGGAUCAGAAUGCCACGGUGAAUACGUUCCCGGGUCUUGUACACACCG